rnacentral:rRNA from 1 species
CCUAACACAUGCAAGUCGAGCGGUAGAGAGAAGCUUGCUUCUCUUGAGAGCGGCGGACGGGUGAGUAAUGCCUAGGAAUCUGCCUGGUAGUGGGGGAUAACGUUCGGAAACGGACGCUAAUACCGCAUACGUCCUACGGGAGAAAGCAGGGGACCUUCGGGCCUUGCGCUAUCAGAUGAGCCUAGGUCGGAUUAGCUAGUUGGUGGGGUAAUGGCUCACCAAGGCGACGAUCCGUAACUGGUCUGAGAGGAUGAUCAGUCACACUGGAACUGAGACACGGUCCAGACUCCUACGGGAGGCAGCAGUGGGGAAUAUUGGACAAUGGGCGAAAGCCUGAUCCAGCCAUGCCGCGUGUGUGAAGAAGGUCUUCGGAUUGUAAAGCACUUUAAGUUGGGAGGAAGGGCAGUUGCCUAAUACGUAACUGUUUUGACGUUACCGACAGAAUAAGCACCGGCUAACUCUGUGCCAGCAGCCGCGGUAAUACAGAGGGUGCAAGCGUUAAUCGGAAUUACUGGGCGUAAAGCGCGCGUAGGUGGUUUGUUAAGUUGGAUGUGAAAUCCCCGGGCUCAACCUGGGAACUGCAUUCAAAACUGACUGACUAGAGUAUGGUAGAGGGUGGUGGAAUUUCCUGUGUAGCGGUGAAAUGCGUAGAUAUAGGAAGGAACACCAGUGGCGAAGGCGACCACCUGGACUAAUACUGACACUGAGGUGCGAAAGCGUGGGGAGCAAACAGGAUUAGAUACCCUGGUAGUCCACGCCGUAAACGAUGUCAACUAGCCGUUGGAAGCCUUGAGCUUUUAGUGGCGCAGCUAACGCAUUAAGUUGACCGCCU